rnacentral:rRNA from 1 species
UCUACUUGGAGGUUGUGGCCUUGAGCCGUGGCUUUCGGAGCUAACGCGUUAAGUAGACCGCCUGGGGAGUACGGUCGCAAGAUUAAAACUCAAAUGAAUUGACGGGGGCCCGCACAAGCGGUGGAGCAUGUGGUUUAAUUCGAUGCAACGCGAAGAACCUUACCUACUCUUGACAUCCAGAGAACUUUCCAGAGAUGGAUUGGUGCCUUCGGGAACUCUGAGACAGGUGCUGCAUGGCUGUCGUCAGCUCGUGUUGUGAAAUGUUGGGUUAAGUCCCGCAACGAGCGCAACCCUUAUCCUUGUUUGCCAGCGAGUAAUGUCGGGAACUCCAGGGAGACUGCCGGUGAUAAACCGGAGGAAGGUGGGGACGACGUCAAGUCAUCAUGGCCCUUACGAGUAGGGCUACACACGUGCUACAAUGGCGCAUACAGAGGGCAGCAAGCUAGCGAUAGUGAGCGAAUCCCAAAAAGUGCGUCGUAGUCCGGAUUGGAGUCUGCAACUCGACUCCAUGAAGUCGGAAUCGCUAGUAAUCGUGGAUCAGAAUGCCACGGUGAAUACGUUCCCGGGCCUUGUACACACCGCCCGUCACACCAUGGGAGUGGGCUGCAAAAGAAGUAGGUAGUUUAACCUUCGGGAGGACGCUUACCACUUUGUGGUUCAUGACUGGGGUGAAGUCGUAACAAGGUAGCGCUAGGGGAACCUGGCGCUG